AACAAGUUAGCUUAGUUGGUAUAGCAUGAGGCUCUUAAUCUCAGGGACACAAGAUCAAGCCCCACAUUGGGCAAGUUU